GUGCCCACUUCAGCAGCACAUACACUAAAAUUGGAACUAUAUAGAUAUUAGCAUGGCCCCUGUGCAAGGAUGACACACAAAUUCAUGAAGCAUUCAAUAUUUUU